UCCCCUAGGUCAGGGAGGCAGAGGCCAUGGCGUGGCGGCCAUCCCACGGCGCCAUGGCCGGAUGGCCACCACGUCGACUCCCCUCGGCCUAUAAGAGCGUCCCCUGGAAACCCUAGCUAGCUCUCGACCGAUCCCCUCACUUUCCCAAUCGAAUCGCCUCCUCCUUGGCUCGGAAUCGAGCCCGGAACCUCGCGUGGUGACUGUACACCUCGUCGCCGUUGCCGCGGACAACGUGCUCUCUGGCGCCCGUGGAUCCGUCCAGGAGGACCGCCACCCUCGACUUCGUCUUCCCCGAGCAACAAGUGGAGCUGGGACGUCUCGUACAUUCGCCAUCGACACCGUCAUCUCCGCGUACAUCUUCGCCGUCCGCCGUCGUUUGCCGCUACUCCGGUUCGUCCCCGACCACCCCGACCACGUCUCUGAGUUCACUGUGAGCUCCUCUGCCCGCUUCCCCUGCUCGCCCCCUCGAUCCGUCGCCGUUUAGCCUCCCCUCAUUUCGGCGGCCAUGGACGGGAGCUCGAGCUCUUGUGUGUGUGCGCGUACUGCUACCGCGUAGCUGCUGUUGGUGCUUCUCCUAUGCCGCUGCCUCCUACUGCUCUACUGUGCCGCCGCCGUUGGCUGAUGCCGCUGCCACUGCCGCUUCUUGCCGCUGGCGCUGUUGAUGCCGCACUGCUUGCCGCGGCCGCGGUCGCUCUUGCUGCUGUUGCCUGCUGCUCGCCGUAGGCCGCGACUGCACCCCAUGCGCUCAACUGCACACCCGCGCGUGCCAGCCUGCUCGUGCCCAUGGUCGCUCCCGUGCGGGCUCAUGGUUGUGGCUGGCCGUAGCCGCCGUGUGCCUGUUCAUGCGUGCACUGCCACGGUGAAGCCGGAUGGGCUAUGUCCAGUGCCCAGCAAGCCGGCCUUGUUUUAAUUACUAGUUAGAUUAGCUACUAACCUAUGGCAGGUGGACACCUCUCCUCUAAAUAUCCACUUAAAAAGAAAUGCUAAAAUAUGUGUGAAGACGCCUAGGGCCCACUGGUCCCAUUGACCAGUCAAACUGCUGACUGGGAUAACCCAGUUGAUGACAUACGGGUCCCAUGUAAUUAACAGUCUAAAUAGAUCCCUAAGUACAACCACUGCCGCUGCUUACUGUAGUUACUGUAGCUACUAGCUAGCUUUUGUAUCCUAUCCUAUAUACCUAAGAGAUUCAUCCUCACUAACCUAUUUAUCUAAACAUGCAGCCUAUCCACGUCAUCCAAUAGGUCCUACAUGUACAAAUGUUUUCCUCCUCUCUGUAACCUUCCAUUAGUAAUUUCAACCAUGCUGCAUGGCACGAACUGUAAGUCAAAGACGAACAUAGGGCCUUUCCACAUUCCAUCGUCCAUCCACUAUCCAUAGGCCCCUUCGUCUCUCACCUGGGCCCUGUGCUCCAUAUAACUGACGUGAUCUCGACCGUCUCUCCCAAGUAUCCCAUCGAGCCCUCUCUCCAUUCAGAAAAAUGAAAACCAAUCCUUUUCAUGAGGUUGUGGCGGAGAUCUCUGCAGGAGGGCGCUCCCCUCGCUUUGAAUAUCCUACUACCUGCAUCCGGUGACUCUUCUGCUCGGGCAGGAACGCAAGUCCGCCUCGCUCUGACUCCUAGCUCCAGCACGACCACUGAUCCGCCUCACCUCCGACGACUGUCAGGCUUCGGCACGAGCACGACUGCCUGUCGGCCUCGCCUCCGGGGGCUCCCCUGGAUUCUCUUGGCCUGCGGUCCCAUUGCCGAUGGGCUCCUCCGGCUCGGUCGUCGUCGCCUAUGGCGUUGACUUGAAUUUCGUCCUCCCCUCUACUGUCUCCGUUCCGGCGCACCUGGGAAGGGAAGAGAACGACCUGUCUGGGAACUUUCCCAAAUUUUAAUCCGCAAACUUGCAGUUCAGCGUUCAAGCUAAUGUGGAUGAAGGUGGAGGAUAUGGUGUUGUUUUUGCCUCAAUUGGCGUUGACACAGUACGCCCCAGCCCUCAGUGGCUGCUGCUGUUGCGUGUGAAGAGGCAGGCUCACCCUCAAGAAGACACCUCUAUGGACUGACACUCUCAAGUGCCCACACUACUUUACUGAAUCACAGUUGAUGUAAGCAUGUACACUACUUACUGGCCUUACUUGAAAUCACUCGCAUCAAUCUGGGUGCAGGGCAGAUGUCUUUUUUAUAUGUGAGUUUUCUUUACUCCAAUUA